rnacentral:rRNA from 1 species
UACGAAGGGGGCUAGCGUUGUUCGGAAUUACUGGGCGUAAAGCGUGCGCAGGCGGUCUUUUAAGUCAGAUGUGAAAUCCCCGGGCUUAACCUGGGAACUGCGUUUGAAACUGGAAGGCUUGAGUGUGGCAGAGGGGGGUGGAAUUCCGACGUGUAGCAGUGAAAUGCGUAGAGAUGUGGAGGAACACCGAUGGCGAAGGCAGCCCCCUGGGCUAACACUGACGCUCAUGCACGAAAGCGUGGGGAGCAAACAGGAUUGAG